GUUUAUAUAGUUUAACAAAACAUUGAUUUGUGGUAUCAAAAAUAUAUUUAUAAUAUUAUAAACC
rnacentral:tRNA from 1 species